rnacentral:ncRNA from 1 species
UUAGGGGUGCCAUUUGGCUGAGAUUAUACCCUUUAACUUGAUGCGGUUAGUACCGUCGUAAGGAAAGUUCCGA